UCUCUCACUAAACUCUUCUAAUGCUGAUUUAUGUUAAUAUCAUCUGAUACUUUUGUCCCAUGACAAUUGUUGCUUGAACAUAUUUGUAAAUGCGUUUCCUCUUUUGUCAUUUAGUUAUCUUGAGUCAAGGGUUCUUUGAAUCAUGGCAUACAUUAAGGUUUUAUUUCAGUUCAUCUUUCAAGAACUUCUAGUGCUAUUUCAUUAAUUUUAAUUGACACGGUUUACAAGAGUUUCCAUGGGUUUCAAGUUUUCGUCUAUCAUGUGGGUAGUGGAUAACUAGAUAUAGCUUAUUCCUUUCCUUAGUUUCCUCCAUACAUUGUGUGUUCAUCUUUAAUUCAUAUCCCAUAAGAAUUUAAUCGAGUCAACAUAACAGAAGUGUCUCUGGCAAAGAACUAACUUUUCAAUAUUGCAACCACAUGGAGAUUCCUUUGUGUUGAACAACGACCCCUCUUAUUAUUAUUGAUAUUGUCUUCUAAACAGAAAAACCCUUUGGAAAUGAAUGAACGCUUGUCUUAAAUUAAAAUUAGAUUUCUAUCCACCUCUACGAAAUCCAAGUCCGCUAAUUCGGAAGACAUUGCAGCUCUGCUAUCUUUUAAAUUUGCCAGAUUAAAUGGAAAAAUAAUUAAAAGUGCACUGCAGCUGAUCAUAUGUUUGAUGGUCAGAGUUUUACCCGAUUGAAUGCUUUUUUUCAUCAUCCUAAGUGAAUGGAUAAUUAAAUGCCAAUAUCUUACUGAUUUUCGAUGAUUGAUUGGUUGUCAAAGCUGGAAAUGGAUUUGAUGAGAGGAUUUCAUAUAUAUGAUCCAAAGAGUUAUAAACGCUUGCAUAUUAGGAGAAGCUUUCAUGAUUUAGCCUUAUCUAAAGCUGUAUAUCUAAUGCAAUAUUAAAAACCUUAAUAGACACAUCAAAUUUCUGAUGUGGAUAUUAGUUACUUGAGUGGAGGACACUAUCGCAAUCCAACAAUUGUCCAUUGAUCAAUUUCUAUUGGAAUCUUCGGAAAAAUGCAUUAGAUGGAAGAAAACUUGUGCUGCGAAAGACUUGUAAUUGCUAUGGUUAUGGUGCCAUACAAAAUCAACUUUUUAGCAGCUGUGUAUGACAGAGAAUUACAAGCUUUUAGAUCUUUCAGUCUUCCUAAUCUAUGUCAUGUCAUCUGAGGGGAUUGAGGGUGUAUAUAUGCUGCAGAAAUCUUGUAUUAGCUGACUGCUGAGUAGCACAGCUCAAAAUAAAGGUUGCCGCUCUAUAUAAUUUUAUUUGUUAUUUGCUAAUGAAAAAAGUUCUAUAAUUUUAUUUCUUGGUCGCACAGCACACCCACAAACUGACGUUCAGACAAUCGUAACUAAUAGAACUUUUGGAAACUUGAUUCGUUGUAUUUGUGGUGACAAACCAAGACAAUGAAAUUUCACCCUCGCACAAACUGAAUUUGCCUAUAACUGCAUAAUUCAUAAUUUUAUUGUAGCAUCACCGUUCUCUAUUGUUUACAAGAAAGUGCUGAAGCAUGUUCUAAAUUUAGUUUGUCUAGAAAAAACUCCUGAUAUGUGUGUAGCAGCUAACAACAUAGUUGAGCAAGUACAAUCAACCCAGGCUAAUGUGAAGAAGUUGAAAGCUACUAUUGCCAGGUACAAGGAAGCAGUUGAUAAGCACAGGAGAGAGAAGGUGUUCGAGGAAAGAAAUAUAGUUAUGGUGUACAUGCGAAAAGAGAGAUUUCCCAUUGGCACUUACAACAAAUUAAAGUCGAAGAAGUAUGGUCCCCAUAAAUUCUUAAAGAUAAUUAAUAACAAUGCUUAUGUGAUUGAUUUACCAGAUGAUUGGGGAAUUUCAAAGACCUUCAAUGUUGUAGACUUAUAUGAAUCUUUUUCAAAUGAGAAUCCAUUGUAUUCAGAUAUAAACUCGAGGACGAGAUUUUUCUCAAUUGGAGGUGAUUAGUACGGAACAAGUAGAAGGAGACUAUUUUCAAAGAGCCUAAGGCUACCCACUUAUCACUUUUUUUAUCCCACAUUGUUAAUUUUUAUGUUUUUUUCAAUUAUCUCACAUUGUUAGUUGGUUAGUUUUCAAGGCCUAGAACUAGUAUAAAUAAUGACCUCAUCUAAGCAUAUGGAAUCAUAAAAAAAGCAAUAUCUUCAAGUAUUGUAAAGUUUGUCUCCACUAUAAGGAGUUGAUUUCCCUCAUCCUCCCUUAUAAAGGUUAGUUUACUAGAAUCAUUUUUGGUAGUAAUUUCUUAAUUUUAUUUCUGUAUUACGUCAAAUAGUUAUAUCGGUUUAUAACAGAUUGGGAGGUGACGAAGGUGUUUAUCAUAAUGUAUAUGUAAUUAUUUGAUGAUUAGUAGUAUUCAAGUGCUUGUGAAGAAGUAUACGAAUAUAUCACAGCAUAUCAAUAGCAAAACUCAAGAAAAGUUGAAUGUUUAUAAAUAAUUUGAAGAUUUUUUAUGGAAUGUGUUCAAUAUUAUGCUUGUUUUGAGUCCUCCAAAAUUUUCUUUCAAAGCAUAGGAAGUUGAACUUUUCUCUGAUUCAUUUACCCAUCCUCGUAUAACAUGUUUUUCACUUGUUUAUUGACUUAUUCUUUGUGUUUUCGUUGCUUUAGAAGUCUUAUAUAAUGGUGUUUGCUUUCUCGUAACAUGCAGAUAUGACUAUUCAGAAUAUGGAGCAUCUACUGGUAAGAUAGGCUAUUUUCUUGAGAUAAAUGGUUUGCGAGGGUGAUCUAAAUUUUUUGUUUAGGGUGGUUGGUUGGGGUUUGGGGUGCCAGUGGGACUCUCAAUCAAAACCAGUCUACUGUUAGACAUUGUUGCAAGUGUUUUUGUUUCUAUGUGAUCUAGAUUUGGGAGAGCCAUCGAGACAUUUAUGCUAAGUUUUGUUAGUAUUUUUAGUAUUUUGUUGUUCAUUGGAUUUCCAAGGACUCAUUUCAAUUUUUGUGAUCUUGUGUUUCGUUUCACUGUCUAACUUUAUAGGUUUGCACAGCCGUUGAAUUAAUCUACCGUGCAUUUCUUUAUGUUCGAAUAUGUACCACUUGUCAAUUUGUGUUAUAGAUUGUCAAUAAUUCCUUAUAUUUAGUGUGAACUGAUACGCCUUAUUUUGAAGUUAAAAUGUGUAUGUCAGAAUGAUCAUUAUAAAUAUUCCCAGUAGAUUCUGUUUUGUUUUAACAGCAGGAUGUCUUUCUUGUAGGGUACCGAAGAUGAUGUAGUGAAUUGGCUUCAUGGACAUGGUUUAUGGAUACUAGCGAAAGAACCGUACGAUCCCUUAUGGAUCAAAUGAGGAGGUCAUUGCAACCUAGAGUUAUAUCCAGACUACAUCCGUCACCUAUGCAAGUUUAUUCAGGAAAUGGAGAACCUCACGACUGCAACCCGGCUCAAGAAGAUCCGGCAAACUCUCAAACUCCCUGCCAAAGCUGCCGCAACCUCCAGCACCACCACCUUCACGACCAACUGUUGCUGCCAAAUUAGAUGCAGGAAACCCGAUUGCUGGAGUUGCCCACGGAGAGGAUGUCUGAUGGUGCGAUGCUCCAAGGGAUCUGCAUACGUGUGCAACUGGUGUUGUGGAGAUUGGCAUUGAUGGUGGCAUCCGCUGUACAGAUUUGCUCAAAUUUCUAAACCUGUCUAUUGUAUCGAAACAUUAACGAAGGCAAUCGGGCUAUCAUCUGUGUGCAAAUUGAGAGAAUAGAUAUCAGUUUUUUUUAACUGAAUCUUCACUGAUGAUCUCUAUGCUGUUGAAAUAUCAAUUUGUUGGUAUUAUAUAGUCAUUGCCAAUUUGGCGAUGGUGUGCUUAUGUUGCUAAA